AGAACAACCCGGUUCCAAUAUGUUUAGUGUACUUGAAUGUACAUUCAGUAUGUACGAGUAAGCAAGUAAAAAUAUAUAGCCAAAUUUGAUUUUUGAUUAUAUCAAUGCAUCCUCGAAUAACCGGUAUUAGUUAGAUAUUUGACGGUAUAUAAAUUUAUCAUUAUCGUAUGCCCGCAAUAUACCUAUUUAAACUUCAAACGCCCGGUAACGAGUGUAUGGUAAUUUUAAUACAAGCACGCGUGUAACACAAACAAAUAUAUAAUAAUAUUAAUAGAAGUGACGUAAUUUUGUGUAUUGUACACGCACAUAAAACAAACAACUUCUAAAUUGUUCUCAAAUAUCAGUUAAACUUUGAUUAUUGAAGUGCUUUACUC